UAAUCUAAACCAUUAACCCCCAGUACAAACACCAUGCUACACCCUGAAUAGUUUAGUCUGGGCAACAGGGCAAGCCAAGUCCAUAGGUUUCCUUUAAUCUAAACCAUUAACCCCCAGUACAAACACCAUGCUACACCCUGAAUAGUUUAGUCUGGGCAACAGGGCAAGCCAAGUCCAUAGGUUUCCUUUAAUCUAAACCAUUAACCCCCAGUACAAACACCAUGCUACACCCUGAAUAGUUUAGUCUGGGCAACAGGGCAAGCCAAGUCCAUAGGUUUCCUUUAAUCUAAACCAUUAACCCCCAGUACAAACACCAUGCUACACCCUGAAUAGUUUAGUCUGGGCAACAGGGCAAGCCAAGUCCAUAGGUUUCCUUUAAUCUAAACCAUUAACCCCCAGUACAAACACCAUGCUACACCCUGAAUAGUUUAGUCUGGGCAACAGGGCAAGCCAAGUCCAUAGGUUUCCUUUAAUCUAAACCAUUAACCCCCAGUACAAACACCAUGCUACACCCUGAAUAGUUUAGUCUGGGCAACAGGGCAAGCCAAGUCCAUAGGUUUCCUUUAAUCUAAACCAUUAACCCCCAGUACAAACACCAUGCUACACCCUGAAUAGUUUAGUCUGGGCAACAGGGCAAGCCAAGUCCAUAGGUUUCCUUUAAUCUAAACCAUUAACCCCCAGUACAAACACCAUGCUACACCCUGAAUAGUUUAGUCUGGGCAACAGGGCAAGCCAAGUCCAUAGGUUUCCUUUAAUCUAAACCAUUAACCCCCAGUACAAACACCAUGCUACACCCUGAAUAGUUUAGUCUGGGCAACAGGGCAAGCCAAGUCCAUAGGUUUCCUUUAAUCUAAACCAUUAACCCCCAGUACAAACACCAUGCUACACCCUGAAUAGUUUAGUCUGGGCAACAGGGCAAGCCAAGUCCAUAGGUUUCCUUUAAUCUAAACCAUUAACCCCCAGUACAAACACCAUGCUACACCCUGAAUAGUUUAGUCUGGGCAACAGGGCAAGCCAAGUCCAUAGGUUUCCUUUAAUCUAAACCAUUAACCCCCAGUACAAACACCAUGCUACACCCUGAAUAGUUUAGUCUGGGCAACAGGGCAAGCCAAGUCCAUAGGUUUCCUUUAAUCUAAACCAUUAACCCCCAGUACAAACACCAUGCUACACCCUGAAUAGUUUAGUCUGGGCAACAGGGCAAGCCAAGUCCAUAGGUUUCCUUUAAUCUAAACCAUUAACCCCCAGUACAAACACCAUGCUACACCCUGAAUAGUUUAGUCUGGGCAACAGGGCAAGCCAAGUCCAUAGGUUUCCUUUAAUCUAAACCAUUAACCCCCAGUACAAACACCAUGCUACACCCUGAAUAGUUUAGUCUGGGCAACAGGGCAAGCCAAGUCCAUAGGUUUCCUUUAAUCUAAACCAUUAACCCCCAGUACAAACACCAUGCUACACCCUGAAUAGUUUAGUCUGGGCAACAGGGCAAGCCAAGUCCAUAGGUUUCCUUUAAUCUAAACCAUUAACCCCCAGUACAAACACCAUGCUACACCCUGAAUAGUUUAGUCUGGGCAACAGGGCAAGCCAAGUCCAUAGGUUUCCUUUAAUCUAAACCAUUAACCCCCAGUACAAACACCAUGCUACACCCUGAAUAGUUUAGUCUGGGCAACAGGGCAAGCCAAGUCCAUAGGUUUCCUUUAAUCUAAACCAUUAACCCCCAGUACAAACACCAUGCUACACCCUGAAUAGUUUAGUCUGGGCAACAGGGCAAGCCAAGUCCAUAGGUUUCCUUUAAUCUAAACCAUUAACCCCCAGUACAAACACCAUGCUACACCCUGAAUAGUUUAGUCUGGGCAACAUUUGAAACCAUUUGCUUUACGUUGCUUCUGUUGUUGUUUUUUUGAUGAUUUUCUAUUUGUUGUUUGCUAAU